GAUGAACGCUAGCUACAGGCUUAACACAUGCAAGUCGAGGGGCAGCAUAUUUAUAGCAAUAUAAAUGAUGGCGACCGGCGCACGGGUGAGUAACACGUAUCCAACCUGCCGUUUACUCGGGGAUAGCCUUUCGAAAGAAAGAUUAAUACCCGAUGGCAUAUAUUGAUUUCAUGGUCUUUAUAUUAAAGAAUUUCGGUAAACGAUGGGGAUGCGUUCCAUUAGGCAGUUGGCGGGGUAACGGCCCACCAAACCUACGAUGGAUAGGGGUUCUGAGAGGAAGGUCCCCCACAUUGGAACUGAGACACGGUCCAAACUCCUACGGGGGGCAGCAGUGAGGAAUAUUGGUCAAUGGGCGUAGGCCUGAACCAGCCAAGUAGCGUGAAGGAUGACUGCCCUAUGGGUUGUAAACUUCUUUUAUAAGGGAAUAAAGUGGAGUAUGUAUACUCUUUUGUAUGUACCUUAUGAAUAAGGAUCGGCUAACUCCGUGCCAGCCGCCGCCGUAAUAC
rnacentral:rRNA from 1 species